AUUGAACGCUGGCGGCAGGCCUAACACAUGCAAGUCGAGCGAGCGGCGGACGGGUGAGUAAUGGAUGGGGAUCUGCCCGAUAGAGGGGGAUAACUACUGGAAACGGUGGCUAAUACCGCAUACUAUCGGAUGAAUCCAUAUGGGAUUAGCUAGGAGGUGGGGUAAAGGCUCACCAAGGCGACGAUCUCUAGCUGGUCUGCGAGGAUGAUCAGCCACACUGGGACUGCUACACGGCCCAGACUCCGACGGUAGUCAGCAGUGGGGAAUAUUGCACAAUGGGCGAAAGCCUGAUGCAGCCAUGCCGCUUGUAUGAAGAAGGCCUGAGGGUUGUAAAGUACUUUCAGCGGGGAGGCGUUACCCGCAGAAGAAGCACCGUCUAACUCCGUGCCAGCAGCCGCGGUAAUUC
rnacentral:rRNA from 1 species